rnacentral:lncRNA from 1 species
UGGUUGUUUGAUUGAAAACAUGAAUGAAUUAAGCUUUAGUCUGUAUCUGCAAGUUAGAGAAAUGUCUUUUUUUUUUUUUUCAAUGACAUAAGAGAGCAUUUUUUCAGAGCACCAGACUCACUGGACACAGCACAACAAAACUCAGAGAGCUUUGUCCGUUUUCCCCUAACUUUCAACAGUACUGAACCUUUAGCGUAAAGAGCAAGAUCCUCCUAACCCACAUCUGAGGAUAACUGCCAUCCAGCCCUACAUCAUGUCAUACCCAUGCAGAGGCCACCUGAAGACCAGCUGGGCAAAUCUCUCUUGCACUGGGUGUAGUAAAGAGGACUGGGUAAAAUUAUUCCAAAAUUGAAGGCUUUCCUGAGGUCUUUACUAGCAGUAUCUGUUUGUUUUUAAAUCAAGUGAGCUCUGGCUUGGGUUGCUCUAUCUAUUCCAGCUGUGGCAUUAUGGCUUGAGGAGCCCGGCACACUCAUAGGUGUGAAAUAUUGCAAGGAACGAGUUCAUUUUGAACUUGAGGGUGGCCUGGUAGAGGAUGGUAGCACCGAGAGAAGUGGUUAGAUCAGGAAAGAAGCUGAACAUUUCGUCUACAAAUACCUUUUAAGUUGUCUGCUUGGGAAAAAAAUGUCCUGGGCUUUUAAUUCAUCCAUUUGCUUAUUUUUGUAACGGGAAUUAUAGUGGUUACCUCACUGCUCUGGGCUCAGGCUGGGGAAAGAUCGAUCAUUGCUGUUGAGGCUUUGCUGAUAACCCCUGCCCGGGGCUGGGAUGAAGCUGCAGACACUGCCCAUUCUGAGAUGGGAAAGCACAUAUUCUCUCUGCUUUCUGUAUUUUGUUAAUGUAUGUUGAUGUUAUAUGUUAUUAAAAUCAAUUACCUCCUUUAUUUACUUCCUUUCCGACUGCUUUAACUCUGACUCAAUUACUUUGCAUUUCUUUUUUUUAGAAAUGUAGGUUGAAGCUGAUACAAAGGAAAUAAUAUCCAAUCUGUAUUUCUGAAGGUUCAGGACCAGUCUGUCAGGCUGCUGGCACAAAACAACAAUUGUUUUAUUGUCAGGAUUUCCAUCUCUGGGGAAUUCCCACCGCGCUCCUUCUCCACCCGCUCCCAGAGCCGCAGUGAGGAAGGCACCACGUCGGGGAUGGCGAGAGGGACAUCACUUAAAACACCCGCAGCUCAGCAACGUGGGAACACCAUCGCGUUUGUGCUCACCCAACAGAAAACAGAUCGGCCUUUUCCUUCCUGCACCUCAGCGGCACGGAGGGAAGCGCUGGCCUGAUUGCUCGCUGCAGCAAGCGGACUCGGUGAGGUGUCCCCAGCGCGACCGUAUGCCCGGGAGCUGGUGGCCAGCAUGGUGAUAGCCACGCAGAGCCACGCUGUGCUCAGCAGCCAUGGGGGCUGUAGCUGCCGAGCAGCCGGCCAGAAGAGCUGGGCAGCCAACACAUCCCUUCAGGAUUGCAUCAU